UACAGAGACCUCAAGCGUUAUCCGGAAUCAUUGGGCGUAAAGCGUACCGAUAGGUGGCUUAUUAAGUCUUUGGUUAAAUCCGGAAGCUCAACUUCCGGUUUGCUAAGGAUACUGGUAGGCUAGAGGGGCAAAGAGGUGAUUGGAACCAACGGUGUAGUAGUGAAAUGCGUUGAUAUCGUUGGGAACACCGAAAGCGAAGGCAGAUCACUGGGUGCCACCUGACACUGCUAGGACGAAAGCGUGGGGAGCGAAUGGG
rnacentral:rRNA from 1 species